GAUGAACGCUGGCGGCGUGCCUAAUACAUGCAAGUCGAGCGAACAGAUGAGGAGCUUGCUCCUCUGACGUUAGCGGCGGACGGGUGAGUAACACGUGGAUAACCUACCUAUAAGACUGGGAUAACUUCGGGAAACCGGAGCUAAUACCGGAUAAUAUAUUGAACCGCAUGGUUCAAUAGUGAAAGACGGUUUUGCUGUCACUUAUAGAUGGAUCCGCGCCGCAUUAGCUAGUUGGUAAGGUAACGGCUUACCAAGGCAACGAUGCGUAGCCGACCUGAGAGGGUGAUCGGCCACACUGGAACUGAGACACGGUCCAGACUCCUACGCGAGGCAGCAGUAGGGAAUCUUCCGCAAUGGGCGAAAGCCUGACGGAGCAACGCCGCGUGAGUGAUGAAGGUCUUCGGAUCGUAAAACUCUGUUAUUAGGGAAGAACAAAUGUGUAAGUAACUAUGCACGUCUUGACGGUACCUAAUCAGAAAGCCACGGCUAACUACGUG
rnacentral:rRNA from 1 species